rnacentral:rRNA from 1 species
UACAGAGGUCCCAAGCGUUGUUCGGAUUCACUGGGCGUAAAGGGUGCGUAGGUGGCGAGGUAAGUCGGAUGUGAAAGCUCGGAGCUCAACUCCGAAAUGGCAUUGGAAACUACCUUGCUCGAGGGUUGGAGGGGGACUGGAAUUCUCGGUGUAGCAGUGAAAUGCGUAGAUAUCGAGAGGAACACCAGUGGCGAAGGCGAGUCCCUGGACAAGCUCCUGACACUGAGGCACGAAAGCUAGGGGAGCAAACAGG